rnacentral:rRNA from 1 species
GACGAACGCUGGCGGCGUGCUUAACACAUGCAAGUCGAACGGAAAGGCCCUGCUUUUGUGGGGUGCUCGAGUGGCGAACGGGUGAGUAACACGUGAGUAACCUGCCCUUGACUUUGGGAUAACUUCAGGAAACUGGGGCUAAUACCGGAUAGGAGCUCCUGCUGCAUGGUGGGGGUUGGAAAGUUUCGGCGGUUGGGGAUGGACUCGCGGCUUAUCAGCUUGUUGGUGGGGUAGUGGCUUACCAAGGCUUUGACGGGUAGCCGGCCUGAGAGGGUGACCGGCCACAUGGGGACUGAGAUACGGCCCAGACUCCUACGGGAGGCAGCAGUGGGGAAUAUUGCACAAUGGGCGGAAGCCUGAUGCAGCAACGCCGCGUGCGGGAUGACGGCCUUCGGGUUGUAAACCGCUUUCGCCUGUGACGAAGCGUGAGGGACGGGAAUGGGGAAAGAAGCACCGGCUAACUACGG